UGUAGCUCAGCAGCAGAGCACUUGCCUAACAUGCAUGAGGUCCAGGGUUCAAUCCCUGGCA
rnacentral:tRNA from 1 species